CAGUCGAGCGCACUCUUCGGAGUGAGCGGCGGACGGGUUAGUAACGCGUGGGAACGUACCCAGAUCUACGGAAUAGCCUCGGGAAACUGAGAGUAAUACCGUAUACGCCCUUCGGGGGAAAGAUUUAUCGGAUUUGGAUCGGCCCGCGUUAGAUUAGAUAGUUGGUGAGGUAACGGCUCACCAAGUCUACGAUCUAUAGCUGGUUUUAGAGGAUGAUCAGCAACACUGGGACUGAGACACAGCCCAGACUCCUACGGGAGGCAGCAGUGGGGAAUCUUGGACAAUGGGCGCAAGCCUGAUCCAGCCAUGCCGCGUGAGUGAUGAAGGCCUUAGGGUCGUAAAGCUCUUUCGCCAGAGAUGAUAAUGACAGUAUCUGGUAAAGAAACCCCGGCUAACUCCGUGCCAGCAGCCGCGGUAAUACGGAGGGGGUUAGCGUUGUUCGGAAUUACUGGGCGUAAAGCGCGCGUAGGCGGACCAGAAAGUUAGGGGUGAAAUCCCGGGGCUCAACCCCGGAACUGCCUCUAAAACUCCUGAUCUAGAGUUCGAGAGAGGUGAGUGGAAUUCCGAGUGUAGAGGUGAAAUUCGUAGAUAUUCGGAAGAACACCAGUGGCGAAGGCGGCUCACUG
rnacentral:rRNA from 1 species